rnacentral:lncRNA from 1 species
UUCUAGUGAUUUAGGAUGUAGUUUUAUAUCCUAAAUCCAUAGAAAACCUAGAUAAACUCAUGAGAUAGAGAAUUCACGGUAGACUUUUCCAAAGUCAUGUGGUGAUGCCCUAUCCCAAGAAAUAGUGGGCACAUAUUUUAGAUGAUUUAGGACCCAAAAAUUUGCAAAUCCAUCAUCUUAACCUCCGGACUAAGAUCCUAUAAAAAAUAGGAUUGGAACCCAAAGUGUCACACCUCCAUUCCCAUUGGUAAUAUAUUUUCUAUUUUUUGAAAAAGGAAAAAAAAAGAAAGAAAGAAAGAAGGUCAGGGGCCUUAAAAAUGCAUCAUCAUGAUAUCAUCUCAACAUGCAAUCUGGACUAUCUGUUUCAAUGCAC